rnacentral:misc_RNA from 1 species
GAUGAAGAACGUAGCGAAAUGCGAUAAGUAAUGUGAAUUACAGAAUUCAGUGAAUCAUCGAAUCUUUGAACGCACAUUGCGCCCAUUAGUAUUCUAGUGGGCAUGCCUGUUCGAGCGUCAUUUCAACCCUUAAGCCUAGCUUAGUAUUGGGAAUCGACUUUACUGUCGUUCCUCAAAUUCAACGGCGGAUUUAUAGCAAUCUCUGAACGUAGUAAUUUUUUUUCUCGUUUUUGAAAUACUAUAAACCUCAGCCGCUAAACCCCCAAUUUCUUAUGGUUGACCUCGGAUCAGGUAGGAAUACCCGCUGAACUUAAGCAUAUCAAUAAGCGGAGGA